rnacentral:lncRNA from 1 species
CUAAACUUCAACCUGGGUCACACAGCAUCAGCUUGUUGAAAAAGGGAUUGUUUGUGGAGCUGCUACCAGCAGUCAGUCUGAUAGAGGAAGAGGCUGUAACAGGAUCUCUGUUGGACAAACAGCAGACGGUGAAGUGCGUACACACAGCAUGGGGAAAACACAAAGUUGGUGACAUAUCCCGCAAUGAUGCCUCACGUAGGGCAGAUGAGAGGGGCAAUGAAAAAGGAGAGGUGUGACAGGGGCGGCUGGUGGAUGGGUACCUUGAAAGUAGGUGUUUUCAGUGAGGGGAAGACAACUGGCAGAAACGCCCAUGCCUGGAGAGUCGCCCAGAUGUAGAUGCAGAAGGGGGACCUGCUGCUACUGGGAGCCUACGGCUUUUACUUUACAUUUAUUUAACUAGGCUUCACUGAAUCCACCCAGGAGGUCCUCCAACGUCAGGCCUCCUACUCCUUUAUGAACUGCCCCCGGCCAAACAACUCACCCUGGGCAGUCCGCGACAAGGUGGGGAGAGAAUGUCAAGAGGAGGGGGACAAAAGGAGGGGGCGUGGGGGGAGAGGAGCUAGGGAGGUGAGGCAAAGGGGGUGUUAUCAGCAGUAAUUUAUCUUCUAAUAACACAGUUUUAUUUGAAAUUAUAACCCGAGAGUUUGUCCAGGAAAUUGACCUUUCACCAUGCCACUACAAUGUGACCGAGAAACCAGUGCCCAAGGUACCCUGCAAGUAAACACUUGCAUAAUCUAUCAUUCAAAUGUUGACAGUGUCAAAUCUGAGUCACCGCAAGCAGACUGCCUAUGAUUCAUCUCCUUGAUAUUUGAAUCAUCCCUAGAUAUCUUUUUCCUGUGAUCUUUCAUUUCUUCAAAACAUGUACAAACAACAACCUGACCUCUUCAUUUCAGUGCCACACAACAGGUCUGGCCCACUGAGGUAUAAUAAGAACUAGAGACUGCCUCCAAGAUGGCCAACCUUUGUUUUCAACGUAAUCUACUCACGUUUGCAUGCGCCAUUUUGUGGUUGCUGCCGUUUUUCUUACUGGGAUUACUAUGUCUGCGCGCUAGUGCUCAGUGCGCACUAGGCAAAAGUAUUGCGUGAACAUGAUCCGGGAACUCUGGCAGAGCACCUGGACAGCUAAACAAGCCAACCAUCACUUCCCCUGGCCAGCUGGGGUCAUGACCUCAGAGCAUGAAUAUAAAAUGUUAAUAUCUUCGGCUGUCAGUGAUGGAAGAUUUUUUUCAUUUGAAUAAUUCAAUGGAUGUUUUGUGCACAAAGUUGAAAAAAUAAAGUAUUUUAU